CACGCGCCGACGAACUCUAGCGGGCCGAACAGGCUGGGGCAGGCCUGCAGCUUGCCGCACAUGGCGCGGCAGAACGCCGCCAGCUGACCGCCGCGGUCUGCGAUCGGCACGUAUGCGUGAAAAAGGUGGCAAAGCAAACAUAUUAUAGACUGACCUUGUUAGUGACGAAGCCGAAACUGCAGAGGCGAGUGUUGGAGAAGAAUAUCCAGAACUCGUCCAGGUCGUCAUCAGCUCCGUCGUACUUCAACAGUAGGCGACCACCAACAUUCUCUUUUACCUACAAUAAAUAGUUAAUCUGUUGUACUAUGUAUUGAGAAUACUUAUUCUAAUUUUUAAUUGUUUACAUCAUGUAAAAAAAUUAAUUUCAUAUCUCAUAAUACAUGACUGUAUGGGGAUAUGUGUCAGACUGUCAAACUUUCUUCCAUAUUAUGAGAAAGAGAAAGUGUGAGGUGUAAUUUUGAUGAAAUUUCGCAAAGGAAUAGACUAUACCUUAAGAAGAAAGAUCUUCAGGUGAAAAACUAAGAAACAUACAAAAGAAGCUGCUGGCUGUCAUAAAAAUCAGCUCACUUCCAAAUUGAUUUUAAUGUUAGGAAUUCAAUUAUUAUAUUUA